AGCAAUUUGGGGGAAUGUAUAACUUCGGUUAGCUAGACUGACUCUGGCUAAUUAUUUUCGAUUGUAAUGAUCAACUGUAAUUGGUUUAGAGCAGGUUUUCAAUUUUGAAUUGACUAUUUGUAGUAUGCGGAUUAGAUAAAAAACCUUCUAAUUUACUUAGCUGAGUUUUUUUACUCAGGCGGUCAGUAUAGUAGCGGCUUUGCCGAGUAAAGUUCUAGAUAUAAGACUGAUUAUGACAAUUUUAUUAUCUAUGUGUCUUGACCAAAUUACGUGCCAGCAGUCGCGGUAAUACGUAGAAGACUAGUGUUAUUCAUCUUUAGUAGGUUUAAAGGGUACCUAGACGGUAAAAUUAAUCCUCAGGAUAUGUUUUUACUAGAGUUAUAUGGGAGAAGGGGAGUAUUUAUGGUGUAGAGUUGAAAUUCGUUGAUCCCAUAACGACUGGUAACGGCGAAAGCAACCUUUUAUCUAAUAACUGACGUUGAGGGACGAAGGCUCGGGUCACGAACAGGAUUAGAUACCCUAGUAGUCCAAGCAGAGAAUUAUGAAUGCCAUAGAUUAGAUUAUUUUGGUCUAUAAAUGAAAGUGUAAGCAUUUCACCUCAAGAGUAAUGUGGCAACGCAGGAACUGAAAUCAUUAGACCGUUUCUGAAACCAGUAGUGAAGUAUGUUAUUUAAUUCGUAAGUACGCGAAAAACCUUACCACAACUUGAAUAUUAUCUUUAUAAGAUAUUACAAGCGUUGCACGGCUGUCUUCAGUUAAUGUCGUGAGAUAUUGGUUAAUUCCUUUAAAUUAACGGAAGCCCUUGCUUUAUUUGCUUAUUACUCUUUAUGCGGAACAAAAUACCUAUUAUAGUAAAAAGAAUAAGCAGUUCACUUUAUUUGGAUUGAUACAGGACCAGACA
rnacentral:rRNA from 1 species